GACGAAGGGGGCUAGCGUUGUUCGGAAUUACUGGGCGUAAAGCGAGUGUAGGUGGUUGUCGUAGUCAGGCGUGAAAGCCUUGAGCUCAACUCAAGAAAUGCGCUUGAUACUGGGCAGCUAGAGGACCGGAGAGGAUAGUGGAAUUCCCAGUGUAGUGGUGAAAUACGUAGAGAUUGGGAAGAACACCAGUGGCGAAGGCGGCUAUCUGGACGGUUUCUGACACUAAGACUCGAAAGCGUGGGGAGCAAACAGG
rnacentral:rRNA from 3 species